GAUGAACGCUGGCGGCGUGCCUAAUACAUGCAAGUCGAGCGAACAGACGAGGAGCUUGCUCCUCUGACGUUAGCGGCGGACGGGUGAGUAACACGUGGAUAACCUACCUAUAAGACUGGGAUAACUUCGGGAAACCGGAGCUAAUACCGGAUAAUAUAUUGAACCGCAUGGUUCAAUAGUGAAAGACGGUUUUGCUGUCACUUAUAGAUGGAUCCGCGCCGCAUUAGCUAGUUGGUAAGGUAACGGCUUACCAAGGCAACGAUGCGUAGCCGACCUGAGAGGGUGAUCGGCCACACUGGAACUUAGACACGGUCCAAACUCCUACGGGAGGCAGCAGUAGGGAAUCUUCCGCAAUGGGCGAAAGCCUGACGGAGCAACGCCGCGUGAGUGAUGAAGGUCUUCGGAUCGUAAAACUCUGUUAUUAGGGAAGAACAAAUGUGUAAGUAACUAUGCACGUCUUGACGGUACCUAAUCAGAAAGCCACGGCUAACUACGUG
rnacentral:rRNA from 1 species